UGCUGCCUAUUUUUAGAGCCACUGCCGGCUGGUGCUUCUACCCCUUUUUGGCUUCUUAAGUUUUCCCGAGAAAACAGCAGCAGGUGCCGACAGAGCUGUGUCCCCAGUGGAUGACUCAGAAUCGCGGCCCGGCCCCACUGGGUUAUUUUUGAAGUCCUCGCACACAGCAGCUCGGACACUUCUGCGAGGGAACUCCCGGGGACCCCGCGCCCUUGCCCACGCGGAGCCCAGCUCCCCGGAGAUCCCGCACACACGCCGUGCGCGCUCCCCGCACAGACAUUCGCGCACCCGACUCCACCGACCCCCCCCCACACACACACACACGCCAACACCGGCCGCCGCUGCCCUGGGCCCCCUCCACGCGCUGCGCACGCCUCGGCUCUCUGCUGUGGCCUGGGAAAGCAGUAGAAGAUGGCCCAAGUCCUUGGACCCCUGCACCCGGAAGAAACUCCUGGCUUCUGGCUUCAGAUCGGUGCAGCUCCGGCUGUUGUGGCCAUCUGGGGAGUGAACCAGCAGAUGGAAGACCUCUCUCUCUGUCUCUACCUCUCUCUGUAACUCUGUCUUUCAAAUAAAUAAAAUAAACCUUUAAAAUAGGGUGUUACACUCCUGACUGUAUCGGGUGGUUAUAAGCAUAAGAGGUGAUGCACAUCCAGUGCUCAGUAAAUGGGAGUGAUACUGUGCUAAGAGGGCUCUGUUUUGCCACGCGCUCAGGGGGAAACUGGCCUAGGUCCAUGGUUUUCAAGCCUGAACAUGCAUCAGAAUCCUCUGGAUGCAGGGUGAGCGUUAUGGUACCAUGGGUUAAGCCACUGCUUGGGAUGCCCACAUCCAUAUUGGAGGAUCUGGGUUUCAGUCCUGCCUCUGCUUCUGAUCCGGCUUCCUGCUAAUGUGCCUAGGAGGCAGAUGAUAAUGAGUCCCGGCCACCUACAUGGGGACUCGGAUCAAGCUCCCAGCUCUUGGCUUUGGCCUGGCUCAGCCCGGGCUGUUGCAGGUAUUUGGGGAGUAAGUCAGCAGAUCACCCUCUCCUUUCGCUGUCAUUCUUUCAAAUAAAUAAAUUGAUUAAAAAAAAAAAAAACCUGGAGCUGGAGGGCUUAUUAAAACUUUCCUGGGCUAGGGCUGGUGCUGGUGCUGGCACUGUGGCGCAGGGGGUUAAAGCCCCAGUCUGCAGCGCCAGCAUCCCAUACGGGUGCCGGUUUGAGUCCCGGCUGCUCCACUUCCAAUAGCACUCCCUGCUAACGUACCUGGGAAAGCAACGGAGGAUGGCCCAAGUGCUUGGACCCCUAAACCCAUGUGGGAGAUCCAGAAGAGGCUCCUGGCUUCAGAUUGGUUCAGCUCUGGCCAUUGCAGGUGCAGCUCCGGCUGUUGUGGCCAUCUGGGGAGUGAACCAGCAGAUGGAAGACCCCACUCUCUCUGUCUCUACCUCUUUCUGUAACUCUUUCAAAUAAAUAAAAUAAAUCUUUAAAAACAAGCAAACAAACAGACUUUACUGGGCUUCACACCAGACUUUCUGAUUCAGCAGCUCUGGGAUUGGGCCUGAG